rnacentral:snRNA from 1 species
GGAUGUGAGGGCAAUCUGGUUGUGACAUCUGUUACCCCAUUGCUUGCCAGGGUUGACUCAGCUACUCUGGCCGGCUAGGAGGAUGUCCCCUUCCCUCCUCACUACUCCAUGUGCAUUCCUCCCAAAGCUGCACGCUAGGUCAAAGAGGACAGCCUUCCUGGAAUAGAGGAGGACCAGUCUUGGCUACUCAAGGGAGUAGCUCUGCUCCCUUGCUACAACUCCAAACAAGCUCUCAUAGGUCAAAUGAGCUGGGGCUCUGUCAUAUCCACCCAAAUAAAUCCUAACUGACUGCACAAGCUUCAGGUCCAGCCCAGUCAGUCA